UACGAAGGGGGCUAGCGUUGCUCGGAAUGACUGGGCGUAAAGGGCGCGUAGGCGGCGACCACCGUCAGAUGUGAAAUGCCCGGGCUUAACCUGGGAACUGCAUUUGUGACUGCAUGGCUAGAGUUUGGCAGAGGGGGGUAGAAUUCCACGUGUAGCAGUGAAAUGCGCAGAUAUCAGGAGGAACACCAGUGGCGAAGGCGGCUUCCUGGACCGACACUGACGCUGAGGCGCGAAAGCUAGGGGAGCAAACGGG
rnacentral:rRNA from 1 species